GAUGAACGCUGGCGGCGUGCCUAAUACAUGCAAGUCGAGCGAACGGACGAGAAGCUUGCUUCUCUGAUGUUAGCGGCGGACGGGUGAGUAACACGUGGAUAACCUACCUAUAAGACUGGGAUAACUUCGGGAAACCGUAGCUAAUACCGGAUAAUAUUUUGAACCGCAUGGUUCAAAAGUGAAAGACGGUCUUGCUGUCACUUAUAGAUGGAUCCGCGCUGCAUUAGCUAGUUGGUAAGGUAACGGCUUACCAAGGCAACGAUGCAUAGCCGACCUGAGAGGGUGAUCGGCCACACUGGAACUGAGACACGGUCCAGACUCCUACGGGAGGCAGCAGUAGGGAAUCUUCCGCAAUGGGCGAAAGCCUGACGGAGCAACGCCGCGUGAGUGAUGAAGGUCUUCGGAUCGUAAAACUCUGUUAUUAGGGAAGAACAUAUGUGUAAGUAACUGUGCACAUCUUGACGGUACCUAAUCAGAAAGCCACGGUUAACUACGUG
rnacentral:rRNA from 1 species